GACAAACGCUGGCGGCAUGCCUAACACAUGCAAGUCGAACGGACAGAACAGGGAAGCUUUUCGGAGUGGAACUGGAAAGUUAGUGGCGGAUGGGUGAGUAACGCGUGGACAACCUACCUUGUAAAGGGGAAUAACCUCGAGAAAUCGAAGCUAAUACCCCAUAAUAACCUUGCUUCGCAUGAAGUAAGGAGGAAAGGCGGCCUUAGCGCUGUCGAUACAAGAUGGGUCCGCGUCUGAUUAGCUAGUUGGUGAGGUAAAGGCUCACCAAGGCGACGAUCAGUAGCCGGCCUGAGAGGGUGAACGGCCACAUUGGGACUGAGACACGGCCCAAACUCCUACGGGAGGCAGCAGUGGGGAAUCUUCGGCAAUGGGCGAAAGCCUGACGGAGCAAUGCCGCGUGAGUGAAGAAGGCCUUCGGGUUGUAAAACUCUGUCCUUAUCGAAGAGAGAGUGUUGUAGUAACUGACAAUACUAGGACGGUAGAUGAGGAGGAAGCCCCGGCUAACUAUGUG
rnacentral:rRNA from 1 species